UUGAACGCUGGCGGCAGGCCUAACACAUGCAAGUCGAGCGGCAGCGCGGGGCAACCUGGCGGCGAGCGGCGGACGGGUGAGUAACGCGUAGGAAUCUACCCAGUAGCGGGGGAUAGCCCGGGGAAACUCGGAUUAAUACCGCAUACGCCCUAAGGGGGAAAGCAGGGGAUCUUCGGACCUUGCACUAUUGGCAGAGCCUGCGUUGGAUUAGCUAGUUGGUAGGGUAAAGGCCUACCAAGGCAACGAUCCAUAACUGGUCUGAGAGGAUGAUCAGUCACACCGGAACUGAGACACGGUCCGGACUCCUACGGGAGGCAGCAUUGGGGAAUAUUGGACAAUGGAGUCGACCCUGAUCCAGCCAUGCCGCGUGUGUGAAGAAGGCCUUCGGGUUGUAAAGCACUUUAAGUGGGGAGAAAGGUUCGGCAGUUAAUACCUGCCGGAAGUGAUGUUACCCACAGAAUAAGCACCGGCUAACUCUGUGCCAGCAGCCGCCGUAA
rnacentral:rRNA from 1 species